UUUUUUAUUUUGAAGUUAAUACACUUUACAUUUUGCUCAUGCUGAUAGCUGCAAAUUCCCUAAAUCUAGUAAACUCGACUUCAUAAUUUCUGGUCAUGGGGGAGUGUGUUUCCGCUCUCCCCUG
rnacentral:snRNA from 1 species